AAUGGGGGCAACCCUGAUCCAGCGACGCCGCGUGGAGGACGAAGGUCUUCGGAUUGUAAACUCCUUUUGGAGGGGAUGAAUGCCUACGUGAAUAGCGUAGGGUGACAGUACCCUCGGAAUAAGCCACGGCUAACUUCGUGCCAGCAGCCGCGGUAAUACGAAGGUGGCAAGCGUUACUCGGAAUUACUAGGCGUAAAGCGCAGGUAGGCGGUUCGGUAAGUCUCUUGUGAAAGCUCCCGGCUUAACUGGGAGAGGCCAAGGGAAACUACCGGACUCGAGUGUGGUAGAGGAUGCUGGAAUUCCCGGUGUAGCGGUGAAAUGCGUAGAGAUCGGGAGGAAUACCAAUGGCGAAAGCAGGCAUCUGGGCCAUCACUGACGCUGAGCUGCGAAAGCUAGGGGAGCAAA
rnacentral:rRNA from 1 species